rnacentral:snRNA from 1 species
AUCGUGGUCUGCAGCACG